UGGGCCUUAAGACUCUUGGCUAACUUUUGAGCCGUGUCCACGCCCAUAUAUGCAACAAAGGAAGAUCGGCACAGUUUAGAAACAGAGCCAUGGAAAAAGGAGAGUUCUGGAGCUAACCUAGGCUGGUCUGAAGAAUGCAGAGAUGCAGAGAUGGGGAUGACUCGAAGAAUGCCUAAGGUCGAAAAGGACACUGAGGAAGGAUGGAACUCUCAGGAAGAAGGGACCGAAAAAACUUUCAGGCAAAGUGAAAUGCCUGAAGGAGGGAGGCAGGUUUAAAUAGGCGACGAGGUCCGACAGAAUAAUGAUCGUGGAUCUCCUCUGGCC
rnacentral:lncRNA from 1 species